ACGAACGCUGGCGGCGUGCCUAAUACAUGCACGUAGAACGCUGAAGCUUGGUGCUUGCACCGAGCGGAUGAGUUGCGAACGGGUGAGUAACGCGUAGGUAACCUGCCUGGUAGCGGGGGAUAACUAUUGGAAACGAUAGCUAAUACCGCAUAAGAGUAGAUGUUGCAUGACAUUUGCUUAAAAGGUGCAAUUGCAUCACUACCAGAUGGACCCGCGUUGUAUUAGCUAGUUGGUGAGGUAACGGCUCACCAAGGCAACGAUACAUAGCCGACCUGAGAGGGUGAUCGGCCACACUGGGACUGAGACACGGCCCAGACUCCUACGGGAGGCAGCAGUAGGGAAUCUUCGGCAAUGGACGGAAGUCUGACCGAGCAACGCCGCGUGAGUGAAGAAGGUUUUCGGAUCGUAAAGCUCUGUUGUAAGAGAAGAACGAGGGUGAGAGUGGAAAGUUCACACUGUGACGGUAUCUUACCAGAAAGGGACGGCUAACUACGUG
rnacentral:rRNA from 1 species